CAGCGGCACCCCCAAAUCCCAGAUCUGGCAGCCGCCAGCCAGCGGUGUCCCAAAUCCCUCGUCGUUCCUAGGCUGAUGCGCCCCAAAUCCGUCGCCAACCUGCUGCGCCCCAAAUCCUCGUCGCCGGAUGCGCCUCCUCCAACCUCUCGCCCGCCCCAUUCGCUAUGUUCGCUGGGUUGCCGAACAAGGAAUGGUCGCCUUCGGAAUAUCGCCGUCAACUUCGCCUCUACCUCCAGAGGGUCGUCGUCAAAGUACCCGCCGGUGUCGUCAGUCGAUUGCUAUCGCAUCCUUGUUUGAGUGCCACCCCUUUCCAUCCAGGUUACAGGACUCCUAAAACAUCACUUCUUCAGAGGAGGGAAACAGAGUUGAACUGUUAAUUGUAAAGGGACAAUUGAUCCAUCGCAUGGAAAGUACAAGGAAGAUGAUCAGCACAACAAGGAAGAUCAAUAAAGGCAAGAAAUUAUAAAUAUUCUUCUGAAUAAAGAGGGUAACCUUGAAGAGAAGGUUGCAACUUAAGCUGUAACAAAACAUUAUGAAAAGAGGUCUCACGCCGUGAAUAUUUAGUUGAUGCACUAGUGUUUUUAGAUGUUGCGCCUCUGUUUUCAUUGUCCUUUGAUUCAUGUAUGCAAGUUCGAUGGAAUUGUAUCCGAAGUAUGUGAAUUGGUAACUCUAUGGUUGAUGGAAUUGAUAGUGAUGUUUCUCUGUUCUAAACAUUCAGAGUAAUGAAAUGGCUAUG